rnacentral:tRNA from 1 species
CCUGGUGGCUCAGAUGGUAAAGAAUCUGCCUGCAGUGCAGAAGACCCAGGUUCAAUCCCUGGGUCAGGA